rnacentral:rRNA from 1 species
AACGAACGCUGGCGGCGUGCCUAACACAUGCAAGUCGAGCGCGAAAAGGGCAACCUGAGUAGAGCGGCGCACGGGUGCGUAACACGUGGGUAAUCUGCCUUAGAGUCGAGGAUAACCUUCCGAAAGGUUGGCUAAUACUCGGUAAGCUUACGGUGUCUUCGGACGCUGUGGGAAAAGUAGGCCUCUGUUUACAAGCUUACGCUCUGAGAUGAGCCCGCGGCCCAUCAGCUAGUUGGCGGUGUAACGGACCACCAAGGCAACGACGGGUAGCUGGUAGGAGAGGACGAUCAGCCACACUGGAACUGAGACACGGUCCAGACUCCUACGGGAGGCAGCAGUGGGGAAUUUUCCACAAUGGGCGAAAGCCUGAUGGAGCAACGCCGCGUGUGUGAUGAAGGUUUUCGGAUCGUAAAGCACUUUCGACUGGGACGAAAAACCUUUGGCUAACAUCCAGGGGCCUGACGGUACCAGGAGAAGAAGCACCGGCUAACUCUGUGCCAGCCGCCGCCGUAAGAC